UCCCAGUUCGGAUCGCAGGCUGCAACCCGCCUGCGUGAAGUUGGAAUCGCUAGUAAUCGCGGAUCAGCAUGCCGCGGUGAAUACGUUCCCGGGCCUUGUACACACCGCCCGUCACACCAUGAGAGUCGGGAACACCCGAAGUCCGUAGCCUGACCGCAAGGGGGCGCGGCCGAAGGUGGGUUCGAUAAUUGGGGUGAAGUCGUAACAAGGUAAC
rnacentral:rRNA from 1 species